rnacentral:rRNA from 1 species
UACGAAGGUGGCAAGCGUUGUUCGGAUUCACUGGGCGUACAGGGAGCGUAGGCGGUUGGGUAAGCCCUCCGUGAAAUCUCCGGGCCUAACCCGGAAAGUGCAGAGGGGACUGCUCGGCUUGAGGACGGGAGAGGAGCGCGGAAUUCCCGGUGUAGCGGUGAAAUGCGUAGAGAUCGGGAGGAAGGCCGGUGGCGAAGGCGGCGCUCUGGAACGUUUCUGACGCUGAGGCUCGAAAGCGUGGGGAGCAAACAGGAUUAGAAACCCCCGUAGUCC